rnacentral:rRNA from 1 species
GACGAACGCUGGCGGCGUGCCUAACACAUGCAAGUCAACGAGAAAAGGGUAGCAAUAUCCUGAGUAAAGUGGCGCAAGGGUGAGUAAUAUGUAAGUAAUCUACCCAUGGAUUUGGAAUAACGAAGAGAAAUCGGCGCUAAUACCAAAUAAUGCAAUAACAUUACAUGAUGAUGUUGUUAAAGUUUCAGCAAUGAAACGUCUGUGGAUGAGCUUGCAUCUGAUUAGCUAGUUGGUAGGGUAAAAGCCUACCAAGGCAACGAUCAGUAGCUGGUCUUAGAGGAUGAUCAGCCACACUGGAACUGAGACACGGUCCAGACUCCUACGGGUGGCUG